GAUGAACGCUGGCGGCGUGCCUAAUACAUGCAAGUCGAGCGAACAGACGAGGAGCUUGCUCCUCUGACGUUAGCGGCGGACGGGUGAGUAACACGUGGAUAACCUACCUAUAAGACUGGGAUAACUUCGGGAAACCGGAGCUAAUACCGGAUAAUAUAUUGAACCGCAUGGUUCAAUAGUGAAAGACGGUUUUGCUGUCACUUAUAGAUGGAUCCGCGCCGCAUGAGCUAGUUGGUAAGGUAACGGCUUACCAAGGCAACGAUGCGUAGCCGACCUGAGAGAGUGAUCGGCCACACUGGAACUGAGACACGGUCCAGACUCCUACGGGAGGCAGCAGUAGGGAAUCUUCCGCAAUGGGCGAAAGCUUGACGGAGCAACGCCGCGUGAGUGAUGAAGGUCUUCGGAUCGUAAAACUCUGUUAUUAGGGAAGAACAAAUGUGUAAGUAACUAUGCACGUCUUGACGGUACCUAAUCAGAAAGCCACGGCUAACUACGUG
rnacentral:rRNA from 1 species